rnacentral:rRNA from 1 species
UUCGCAAUGCCCGAAAGGGUGACGAAGCGACGCCGCGUGGGUGAGGAAGGCCUUCGGGUUGUAAAACCCUGUCAGGAGUUAUGAAAUGUAAGUUCGUUAAUACCGUACUUAUUUGACAAAGGCUCCAAAGGAAGCCACGGCUAGCUCUGUGCCAGCAGCCGCGGUAAUACAGAGGUGGCGAGCGUUGUUCGGAAUUAUUGGCCGUAAAGAGCACGUAGGUGGGUUUGCAAGUCAGAUGUGAAAGCCUUCUGUUCAACGGAAGAAUUGCAUCUGAAACUGCUAAUCUUGAGUAUAGGAGGGGAGAAUGGAACUUCUGGUGGAGCGGUGAAAUGCGUAGAUAUCAGAAGGAACGCCGGCGGCGAAAGCGAUUCUCUGGCCUAUUACUGACACUCAGUGUGCGAAAGCUAGGGGAGCAAACGGGAUUAGAUACCCCGGUAGUCCUAGCCGUAAACGAUGGGCACUAAGUAGAGGGGUUUU